GCGUUGUCCGGAAUUAUUGGGCGUAAAGGGAGCGCAGGCGGUUGGAAUAGUCUGAUGUGAAAGCCCACGGCUUAACCGUGGAAGGUCAUUGGAAACUGUCCAACUUGAAUGCAGAAGAGGUAAGUGGAAUUCCAUGUGUAGCGGUGAAAUGCGUAGAUAUAUGGAGGAACACCAGUGGCGAAGGCGACUUACUGGUCUGUAAUUGACGCUGAGGCUCGAAAGCGUG
rnacentral:rRNA from 1 species